GAGCAGAUCACACAGAGAUUGAACAAUGGGCAUCAAUUCAGCUGGACAAUGAGUUGUGAGGCUGGGCUGUUUGAGUUUCUGAACACGUCCUCAUAAGGCUGUGGACAGUUUGAAUUCCAGCGCGGACUCCCAGACACCCGGCACAAGUUAUGUGAGAAAAUUAGUACAGAAUCAGAAGGGGUGGGGGGGGGGUUAGGGGGGAGUCGUUGGAAAGAACUGCAGCCGUCGUCUAUUUAAUUUUAUUUCGGUACCUUGCAAUUCUACUGUCGUUUGAGCAAAACCUGUAUUAGGAAUCGAGAAGAACUAAAAUCUAUAAGAUCACCACCAGAAAGCAGUGAAGGAUUUCCAAUUUUUUAAAAAGAAAUUCUUAAAUGCAAAAUUCACGCAAUGUCUGACUGCGUAAUGGACGAAGGACUAAUGGAGAGAAUUUCAUUGGUCACGAACAUAUUCUCAAGGCCGGGAGGAGAGAUGCACCGUUUGUCUGUGAAUCUCGACAGAAAUCUGGCACAAAUGAACAUCUGUGCUGUCAGUCAAAAGAAAUCUAGAUGUCUUCAAACAACAUGAUUCCCAUCCUGAUUACAGAAAGACUCUCUGAUCAGAAACUAACAAAGUGCUGCAAUGGCAGUUGUGUUCCUGUUGGUGCCAUUUCUCCAAACAUACCCAAUGAGUCUCUUGACUAAAUCUACUGAGCUUUAUUAGUGUGAGUGCACUGUCUGAUUAGACGACCAUCCACACUAACUGCUGUGCAAAGUUUAAUGAGAGUUUAGAAAGAGUUGGAGGAUUAUCAAUAGGAAAAGCUCUGGAUCUUCUUCCUGACAGAGUUCCGCGAACAUCAACCUGACAGCAGCAUAUCCGAGGGAUCAUCAGUUGUGACCUAACUAUGGCACAAUUCUUAAGAUGUGGUAAGUCGCUGACUGUCCAGUAUUUUUAUUGACCAUCCCAAGUUGCCAUUGAGAAGGUGAUGGUGAGCAGCCUUUUUGAACCAUUGCUUAGGUAAACCCACAACCCUGUUCAGGAGGGAGUUCCAGGAUUUCCACCCACUGAAGGAAAGGUGAUUUUUUUUACCAAGUCAGGAUGGUGAGUGGCUUGGAGGGGAACUUGCAUAUUAACCAAAGAACACUGUUGACAUCGCAGUACCCCUCAGUGCUCAGCUGGGGAGCCAGCCUUGAUUACUGAUCAAGAUUCCAGCAAGGGACUUUAAAUUCAAUGUGGUUGGGAGAAUCCAAAGCUCGAAGUCAAAGUAUACGAUAGUUGCUGGUAAAUUUGAAACGAACACAGGAGAAAUGUCUUUACCCAAGUGGAGUUCUCGAUCAGAUGAAAGUGGUUGAAGUAAAUGUUACGGCUGACCUGAAAAAAAUCAACGUGAACACACUGUAGAAGUUUACAUUGAUUGGGGGGGGGGGGGGGGGGGGGGGGGGAGUUUGUUGUGGAGCAUAGGACAAACUUUUGACUCAGUUGGGCCAAAUGGCCUGUGCUGCUAACCCUCCAUGACUCUGACUGUGAAACAAGAAAGCUACCAAUUGAAAUGAACUGACACUUUUUUGAUGAUCCCCCAAAAUCACAGCAGGAAUUUAAGUGUUACAGAUGUUACAAGAUGUAUAGGAAACAAAUCAAGGACAGGAUUGAGCUCUCUAUGUAGAAACUCAAUCAGAGAAAAAAUAACUAGUAAAUAGCAGCUGCCAAUUUAUUACUUGUAUGCCUUGAACUUCAUUUUUUUAAUAAACUACGUGAAAACGA